GGUAUGGACCCCAUGAUGGAACAUGAGAUGGGUGGCCACCACCCUGGUGCUGACUAUCCAGUUGAUGGGCUGCCAGAUCUGGGGCAUGCCCAGGACCUCAUGGAUGGGCUGCCUCCAGGUGACAGCAAUCAGCUGGCCUGGUUUGAUACUGACCUGUAAAUCAUCCUUUAGCUGUAUUGUCUGAACUUGCAUUGUGAUUGGCCUGUAGAGUUGCUGAGAGGGCUCGAGGGGUGGGCUGGUAUCUCAGAAAGUGCCUGACACACUAACCAAGCUGAGUUUCCUAUGGGAACAAUUGAAGUAAACUUUUUGUUCUGGUCCUUUUUGGUCGAGGAGUAACAAUACAAAUGGAUUUUGGGAGUGACUCAAGAAGUGAAGAAUGCACAAGAAUGGAUCACAAGAUGGAAUUUAUCAAACCCUAGCCUUGCUUGUUAAAUUUUUUUUUUUUUUUUUUUAAGAAUAUCUGUAAUGGUACUGACUUUGCUUGCUUUGAAGUAGCUCUUUUUUUUUUUUUUUUUUUUUUUUUGCAGUAACUGUUUUUUAAGUCUCUCGUAGUGUUAAGUUAUAGUGAAUACUGCUACAGCAAUUUCUAAUUUUUAAGAAUUGAGUAAUGGUGUAGAACACUAAUUCAUAAUCACUCUAAUUAAUUGUAAUCUGAAUAAAGUGUAACAAUUGUGUAGCCUUUUUGUAUAAAAUAGACAAAUAGAAAAUGGUCCAAUUAGUUUCCUUUUUAAUAUGCUUAAAAUAAGCAGGUGGAUCUAUUUCAUGUUUUUGAUCAAAAACUAUUUGGGAUAUGUAUGGGUAGGGUAAAUCAGUAAGAGGUGUUAUUUGGAACCUUGUUUUGGACAGUUUACCAGUUGCCUUUUAUCCCAAAGUUGUUGUAACCUGCUGUGAUACGAUGCUUCAAGAGAAAAUGCGGUUAUAAAAAAUGGUUCAGAAUUAAACUUUUAAUUCAUUC
rnacentral:lncRNA from 1 species